rnacentral:rRNA from 1 species
UUCGCAUGAAGCAGUGUGAAAAACUCCGGUGGUAUACGAUGGAUCCGCGUCUGAUUAGCUGGUUGGCGGGGUAACAGCCCACCAAGGCGACGAUCAGUAGCCGGCCUGAGAGGGUGAACGGCCACAUUGGGACUGAGACACGGCCCAAACUCCUACGGGAGGCAGCAGUGGGGAAUAUUGCACAAUGGGGGAAACCCUGAUGCAGCGACGCCGCGUGAGUGAAGAAGUAUUUCGGUAUGUAAAGCUCUAUCAGCAGGGAAGAAAAUGACGGUACCUGACUAAGAAGCCCCGGCUAACUACGUGCCAGCAGCCGCGGUAAUACGUAGGGGGCAAGCGUUAUCCGGAUUUACUGGGUGUAAAGGGAGCGUAGACGGCAGCGCAAGUCUGAAGUGAAAUCCCAUGGCUUAACCAUGGAACUGCUUUGGAAACUGUGCAGCUGGAGUGCAGGAGAGGUAAGCGGAAUUCCUAGUGUAGCGGUGAAAUGCGUAGAUAUUAGGAGGAACACCAGUGGCGAAGGCGGCUUACUGGACUGUAACUGACGUUGAGGCUCGAAAGCGUGGGGAGCAAACAGGAUUAGAUACCCUGGUAGUCCACGCCGUAAACGAUGAUUACUAGGUGUUGGGGGACCAAGGUCCUUCGGUGCCGGCGCAAACGC